rnacentral:rRNA from 1 species
AUUGAACGCUGGCGGCAGGCCUAGCACAUGCAAGUCGAGCGGCAGCGGGGGAAAGCUUGCUUUCCCGCCGGCGAGCGGCGGACGGGUGAGUAAUGUCUGGGAAACUGCCUGAUGGAGGGGGAUAACUACUGGAAACGGUAGCUAAUACCGCAUAACGUCUUCGGACCAAAGUGGGGGACCUUCGGGCCUCAUGCCAUCAGAUGUGCCCAGAUGGGAUUAGCUAGUAGGUGGGGUAACGGCUCACCUAGGCGACGAUCCCUAGCUGGUCUGAGAGGAUGACCAGCCAGACUGGAACGGAGACACCGUCCAGACUCCUACGGGAGGCAGCAGUGGGGAAUGUUGCACAAUGGGCGAAAGCCUGAUGCAGCCAUGCCGCGUGUAUGAAGAAGGCCUUCGGGUUGUAAAGUACUUUCAGCGGGGAGGAAGGUGUUGUGGUUAAUAACCGCAGCAAUUGACGUUACCCGCAGAAGAAGCACCGGCUAACUCCGUGCCAGCCGCCGCAGUAACAC